rnacentral:rRNA from 1 species
UACGAAGGGGGCUAGCGUUGUUCGGAAUUACUGGGCGUAAAGCGUGCGUAGGCGGUCUCUUAAGUCCGUUGUGAAAGCCCUGGGCUCAACCUGGGAACUGCAGUGGAUACUGAGAAGCUAGAGUGUGUCAGAGGAUGGUGGAAUUCCCGGUGUAGCGGUGAAAUGCUUAGAUAUGACAUAGAACACCAAUUGCGAAGGCAGCUUACUACAGGGAUAUUGACACUGAGGCACGAAAGCGUGGGGAUCAAACAGG